ACUUUUGGCCAUUGAAACAUUUCUGUUUUGUGGGCUUUGUUUGUUUGUCCCCCCCCCCAGAUCCCCCUUAUUGUGUCAUCGGAAGACACCGAUCUGUAAAUCCCGGUCCAGAAGUGCAUGCGUUUGUGACGAGACCUGUAGAGGUAAAACCCAUAAUCGCAUGCAUGCGCAGCCAUGUGCAUGCUGUGGUGGAAGCAUCCCUCGCUGCUGCAUGCAACAGGGUGCCAAGUCCAAGGUGGAAGUUCCAAGGUGGGGCAACAUUCUACUGCCAGGUACUACACACUUACACACUCAUUUUACACCUAGGGCAAUUCAGGGAGGUGGGAGCCAUACAGGAAACCCCAUACAGACAGUGGAAGAACCCACCAGCCUCACACACAGUAAUCUGAGCAAGGUUAUUUUUUCUAAAAUCUGCAUGAGCAAUGUGAACUUAGAAACCAACGAUAAGUGUAAAAAUGUCC
rnacentral:lncRNA from 1 species